rnacentral:piRNA from 1 species
UAGAAACCAAAAAUCAAAAUAUAUGUGCCU